GAUGAACGCUGGCGGCGUGCUUAACACAUGCAAGUCGAACGGUGAAGCAGGAGCUGCUCUUGUGGAUCAGUGGCGAACGGGUGAGUAACACGUGAGCAACCUGCCCCUGACUCUGGGAUAAGCGCUGGAAACGGCGUCUAAUACUGGAUAUGUGAUGUGACCGCAUGGUCUGCAUCUGGAAAGAAUUUCGGUUGGGGAUGGGCUCGCGGCCUAUCAGCUUGUUGGUGAGGUAAUGGCUCACCAAGGCGUCGACGGGUAGCCGGCCUGAGAGGGUGACCGGGCACACUGGGACUGAGACACGGGCCAGACUCCUACGGGAGGCAGCAGUGGGGAAUAUUGCACAAUGGGCGGAAGCCUGAUGCAGCAACGCCGCGUGAGGGAUGACGGCCUUCGGGUUGUAAACCUCUUUUAGCAGGGAAGAAGCGAAAGUGACGGUACCUGCAGAAAAAGCACCGGCUAACUACGUGCCAGCCGCCGCGGUAA
rnacentral:rRNA from 1 species